rnacentral:tRNA from 1 species
GGAAGCGAAUGUGUUCCUGGUGGACACCUCAGUCUUCAAAGCUGUUUGAGGGGCAGAAAUGUCUUUGGUGAGUUCGAUUCUCACACGCUUCCG